CGGGGAUUGUUGUGUUGCAGAAAUCCGGCAAUCGACCUGAGGACUUGCGUGCCGCUCAGCUCCCGGGACGUUUGGAGCUGCUGCUAAAUAAUUUCUGCUCAGCCAUGUCGCCGGCUCCAGAUGCAGCCCCGGCUCCUGCGUCGAUCUCCCUGUUUGACCUCAGCGCGGAUGCUCCGGUGUUUCAGGGCCUGAGCCUGGCUCAGGGGAGAGAGAAAGCCCAGAAAGAAAGCUACUCCAGGGUCCUAUGGAUAUUUCAGAGAAGUUAUUUUGUUCAACUUGUGACCAGACCUUCCAGAACCACCAAGAACAGAGGGAACAUUAUAAGCUUGACUGGCAUCGGUUUAACCUAAAGCAACGUCUCAAGGACAAGCCUCUCCUGUCUGCCCUGGACUUUGAAAAGCAGAGUUCCACAGGAGAUCUUUCCAGCAUCUCGGGAUCAGAAGACUCAGACUCAGCCAGUGAGGAGGACUUGCAGACACUGGAUCGGGAGAGGGCUACAUUUGAGAAGUUGAGCCGACCCCCAGGCUUUUACCCUCAUCGAGUUCUUUUCCAGAAUGCCCAGGGCCAGUUUCUUUAUGCCUACCGCUGUGUCCUAGGCCCUCAUCAGGAUCCCCCAGAAGAGGCAGAACUGCUGCUACAGAACCUGCAAAGUAGAGGUCCCAGAGACUGCGUGGUGCUCAUGGCUGCAGCUGGGCACUUUGCUGGUGCUAUAUUUCAAGGAAGAGAAGUGGUGACACACAAAACUUUUCACCGCUAUACGGUUCGGGCCAAGCGGGGCACAGCCCAGGGGCUUCGGGAUGCCCGAGGUGGGCCAUCACGCUCUGCUGGAGCCAACCUGAGGCGCUACAAUGAAGCCACACUAUAUAAGGAUGUUCGUGACCUGCUGGCAGGGCCAAGCUGGGCUAAGGCGCUGGAGGAGGCUGGUACAAUACUGUUGCGUGCUCCCCGCUCUGGCCGGUCUUUGUUCUUUGGAGGCAAGGGAGCACCCCUGCAAAGGGGGGAUCCCCGACUUUGGGAUAUCCCCCUCGCCACCCGCAGACCCACCUUCCAAGAGCUACAGCGUGUGCUCCAUAAGCUGACCACUUUGCAUGUCUAUGAAGAAGACCCUCGGGAAGCAGUCAGACUGCACUCACCUCAGACACACUGGAAAACAGUAAGAGAGGAGAGAAAGAAGCCUACUGAGGAAGAAAUAAGAAAGAUCUGCAGUGACGAAAAGGAAGCGCUGGGGCAGAAUGAGGAAUCUCCCAAACAGGGUUUGAUUACUAUCUGGCAACUGUCAGAUCUGAGUUUCUGUCCUAAAAAUGCACUGGCAAAUUCCCUACUCUCAAAACUGACCCAUUUCCUUAUUUAAACACACACCCACAGUGUCUAUCUUAGCAAUUACUGAGACAUGUUUAGUGACCUUUCCAAAUCUAUUAUCUCUUUUGUUAUGGAUGUUUCCCCAGAGCUAAGAAAAUCUUUGUGUGGAGCAGAUGCGUGGAUGUGUUGCAUGGAUCUCACAUAGUUUAUCUUUGAUUGGAUGCUGUGGUUUGAGGCUGAGGGCUGCUUCCAUGCUUUCCUCUAUUGUGCGGCAUCCUAAGGCUACUCAUAGGGAGAGUCCAGGGACUUGUUCUUGUCUGGGCUGAGAGCCUCAUUUCUGCAUGUGAUAUAAUGGACUCAGCUCUUGAUGUGCUACUUUAUCUGGGUGACAAAAUAAAAACAAUUUCAUUUCAGGCUUUCAUUCUUAUGCAUCUGCUUCUACCCUCUGAGUACUCCCUAGAUGGAUUUCACAUGUCAGGUUUUUCCCUAGGUUCAGGGUCGGAGGGAGAAGAUGGCUUUCAGGUAGAGUUGGAGCUAAUGGAGUUGACUGUGGGGACUCUGGAUCUUCGUGAGUCUGAAGUAUUGCCCAAGCGGAGGAGGAGAAAAAGGAAUAAGAAGGACAAAAGCCGAGACCAGGAGGCUGGGGCACAUCGGACUCUUCUCCAGCAAACUCAAGAAGAGGAGCCUUCCACACAGUCAUCCCAGGCAGUUGCUGCCCCCUUGGGCCCUUUGCUGGAUGAGGCCAAAGCCCCUGGUCAGCCAGAGCUCUGGAAUGCACUGCUUGCUGCUUGCCGAGCUGGAGAUGUUGGAGUGCUAAAGCUGCAGCUAGCUCCCAGCCCUGCAGACCCUAGAGUUCUGUCUCUGCUCAGUGCCCCCUUGGGCUCUGGUGGCUUUACUCUCCUGCAUGCAGCAGCUGCAGCUGGAAGAGGCUCAGUGGUUCGUCUGCUGCUGGAAGCAGGUGCUGACCCCACUGUGCAGGACUCUCGGGCCCGGCCACCUUAUACUGUUGCGGCUGACAAAUCAACACGUAAUGAGUUCCGAAGGUUCAUGGAGAAGAAUCCAGAUGCCUACGAUUACAACAAGGCUCAGGUGCCAGGACCAUUGACACCAGAAAUGGAGGCACGGCAGGCUACACGGAAAAGGGAGCAGAAGGCAGCCCGGCGGCAACGGGAGGAACAGCAGCAGAGGCAGCAGGAGCAGGAGGAGCGUGAACGAGAAGAGCAGCGGCGAUUUGCCGCCCUCAGUGACCGAGAGAAGAGAGCUCUGGCUGCAGAGCGCCGACUCGCUGCCCAGUUGGGAGCCCCUACUUCUCCAAUCCCUGACUCUGCAAUCGUCAAUACUCGACGCUGCUGGAGUUGUGGGGCAUCCCUCCAAGGCCUGACUCCCUUUCACUACCUCGACUUCUCUUUCUGCUCCACACGUUGCCUCCAGGAUCAUCGCCGUCAGGCAGGGAGGCCCUCUUCCUGAUCUCUUACAGCUCUACCUGGGGCCAACUCAGGGACCUGAGACGGCACAUUCACAGCAGCCCUAGGUUUUUUCUUCCCUGUGAAACCAGAGAUGAUUUGGAAGAUGGGGGUGAAGGACACUCGGGAACUAGGGCAAAGACAGGGCUAGAGAGGUAUGUGGAGCUGGUACUGUCUCU
rnacentral:sRNA from 1 species